CAAUAGCUAAGCAACAGAAGCGGCCAUUUGGGCUUACAGACAGCGGCGGAAACCAAAGCUCCAGAUCCAAACUGAAGCCAACCCAGACUAUAAAAGGCUGCAAUUCUAAAAGUCCAUCGGCUGCUGCAAAUUGCAAUCAUCUCUUUAUCUUAAUUGACCGAACACACAGACACAGAGAGGCAGGUUAGAAUUGACGAAAAGAUAACAACAGCAGCAAUAGCAACAGCAAAAGGAGUAAAAAAUGGUGGGUGCUGCUGCAAUCACAGGAAUAGGAGGUGGAUUAUUAGGGUUAUCAUGUACAAAUCUAUCGCAGAGAAGACCAACUUCUCGUUGCAGCAGUAUCAAGAUGGCUGUCUCUGUCGAAGAAGAGAAGAAGAAUUUCACUCUCAAGAAAUCUGAAGAAGCUUUUAAUGUUGCUAAGGAGCUAAUGCCAGGAGGUGUAAAUUCACCAGUGAGGGCUUUUAAAUCAGUUGGUGGACAGCCUAUUGUGAUGGAUUCUGUAAAGGGUUCUCACAUGUGGGAUAUUGAUGGCAAUGAGUAUAUUGAUUACGUUGGUUCUUGGGGUCCUGCUAUUAUUGGUCAUGCUGACGAUCAGGUACUUGCAGCGUUGGCUGAAACAAUGAAGAAAGGGACAAGCUUUGGUGCCCCUUGUCUUCUAGAGAAUGUACUAGCAGAAAUGGUGAUAAAAGCAGUUCCAUGCAUUGAAAUGGUUCGAUUUGUCAAUUCUGGAACAGAGGCUUGCAUGGGUGUUCUUCGCCUGGCCCGUGCCUUCACUGGCCAGGAGAAGCUUAUCAAAUUUGAGGGUUGUUACCAUGGCCAUGCUGAUCCUUUCCUUGUCAAGGCAGGAAGUGGUGUUGCAACGCUAGGACUGCCAGACUCCCCAGGUGUUCCUAAAGCAGCAACCUUUGAAACUCUAACGGCCCCCUUCAAUGACAUAGCUGCUGUCGAGAAACUUUUUGAGGCAAAUAAGGGAGAGAUUGCAGCAAUAAUCCUUGAACCUGUUGUAGGAAAUUCUGGUUUUAUUCCACCUAAACCAGAUUUCCUUAAUGCCAUCCGCAGAAUCACCAAAGAAAAUAAUGCUCUUCUAAUCUUUGAUGAAGUUAUGACUGGAUUUCGUUUGUCAUAUGGUGGAGCUCAGGAAUAUUUUGGCAUAACUCCUGACCUAUCAACGCUAGGGAAGAUCAUUGGUGGUGGUUUGCCAGUUGGUGCAUAUGGAGGAAGGAGGGAGAUUAUGGAGAUGGUUGCACCUGCAGGGCCAAUGUACCAGGCUGGGACCUUGAGUGGAAAUCCACUGGCAAUGACAGCUGGGAUUCACACUCUCAAGCGAUUGCAGGAGCCAGGAAGUUAUGAGUACUUGGAUAAGAUCACCGGUGAACUUAUCCAGGGCAUAUUAGAUGCUGGCAAGAAAGCUGGGCAUGCCAUGUGUGGUGGGCAUAUAAGUGGGAUGUUCGGAUUUUUCUUCACAGAAGGACCUGUUUACAACUUUUCUGAUGCAAAGAAAAGUGACACUGCAAAGUUUGCCAGGUUCUACCAGGGAAUGUUGGAAGAAGGUGUAUACUUUGCUCCUUCACAAUUUGAGGCUGGGUUUACAAGCUUGGCACAUACUACUGAAGACAUCCAACGUACAAUAAAAGCAGCUGAGAAAGUUUUCCGGCAGAUUUAGAGCCUCGAUCUUUUGUACUACUAGCGCAUGGAAAUAACCCCUUUCUUUUGAACCUUUUUCACUUAGUGUGACCCCCUCACUUCUAUUGCGAUGAGCUCAUGAUCACCCUAUCUGAAGAUGCAUUGGAAUAUAAUAUGAUUCAUAAAAACCAAUCACAAAUUGUUGAUCUUGCCAUAACAUCAUCAACCCAAGUUUGGCAUAGGAACGCCGCAGGAUCAAUUUGAUGAUCAGGUGUCUCCAUGUGGUCAAAAUCUUAAGAAAACACUGUUGUUGGCAUUCUGCAGAGAACAUGAUACAGCACCUCUAUUUUAUGUCCAGACACUAUAAUUUUUGAGGAGCAAAUACUGUUACUCCAUAUGAUAAUUACUCAUAUGGAGCUCUUAAAUUUAUAUGUGGAUAUCUCAAUAUGGUUUCUACUUCUAUUUUUAACAUUUUUUGGGGAAUGUAUUUUCCCUAAAAUUUUGGUAAUUUCAGUUAUCUUUCUCUUGA